rnacentral:rRNA from 1 species
UACGUAGGGUGCAAGCGUUAAUCGGGAUUACUGGGCGUAAAGCGUGCGCAGGCGGUUUUGUAAGUCUGUCGUGAAAUUCCCGGGCUCAACCUGGGAAUUGCGAUGGAGACUGCAAGGCUAGAAUCUGGCAGAGGGGGGGGUAGAAUUCCACGUGUAGCAGUGAAAUGCGUAGAGAUGUGGAGGAACACCGAUGGCGAAGGCAGCCCCCUGGGUCAAGAUUGACGCUCAUGCAC